GACAGAGGGGGCAAGCGUUGCUCGGAAUUACUGGGCGUAAAGGGCGCGUAGGCGGCCCGCUAAGUCGAACGUGAAAUCCCCGGGCUUAACCCGGGGAACUGCGUCCGAUACUGGACGGCUCGAGACCGGAAGAGGUGAGUGGAACUGCGAGUGUAGAGGUGAAAUUCGUAGAUAUUCGCAAGAACACCAGUGGCGAAGGCGGCUCACUGGUCCGGUUCUGACGCUGAGGCGCGAAAGCGUGGGGAGCAAACAGG
rnacentral:rRNA from 1 species